GACACGGUCCAAACUCCUACGGGAGGCAGCAGUGAGGAAUAUUGGUCAAUGGACGAGAGUCUGAACCAGCCAAGUAGCGUGAAGGAUGAAGGUCCUACGGAUUGUAAACUUCUUUUAUAAGGGAAUAAACCCUCCCACGUGUGGGAGCUUGUAUGUACCUUAUGAAUAAGCAUCGGCUAACUCCGUGCCAGCAGCCGCGGUAAUACGGAGGAUGCGAGCGUUAUCCGGAUUUAUUGGGUUUAAAGGGAGCGCAGACGGGUCGUUAAGUCAGCUGUGAAAGUUUGGGGCUCAACCUUAAAAUUGCAGUUGAUACUGGCGUCCUUGAGUGCGGUUGAGGUGUGCGGAAUUCGUGGUGUAGCGGUGAAAUGCUUAGAUAUCACGAAGAACUCCGAUUGCGAAGGCAGCACACUAAUCCGUAACUGACGUUCAUGCUCGAAAGUGUGGGUAUCAAACAGGAUUAGAUACCCUGGUAGUCCACACGGUAAACGAUGGAUACUCGCUGUUGGCGAUAUACUGUCAGCGGCUUAGCGAAAGCGUUAAGUAUCCCACCUGGGGAGUACGCCGGCAACGGUGAAACUCAAAGGAAUUGACGGGGGCCCGCACAAGCGGAGGAACAUGUGGUUUAAUUCGAUGAUACGCGAGGAACCUUACCCGGGCUUAAAUUGCAAAGGAAUAAUCUGGAAACAGAUUAGUCUUCGGACCUUUGUGAAGGUGCUGCAUGGUUGUCGUCAGCUCGUGCCGUGAGGUGUCGGCUUAAGUGCCAUAACGAGCGCAACCCUCGCCGCCAGUUACUAACAGUUAAAGCUGAGGACUCUGGCGGGACUGCCAUCGUAAGAUGUGAGGAAGGUGGGGAUGACGUCAAAUCAGCACGGCCCUUACGUCCGGGGCUACACACGUGUUACAAUGGGCGGUACAGAAGGCAGCUACCUGGCGACAGGAUGCCAAUCCCUAAAGCCGCUCUCAGUUCGGACUGGAGUCUGCAACCCGACUCCACGAAGCUGGAUUCGCUAGUAAUCGCGCAUCAGCCACGGCGCGGUGAAUACGUUCCCGGGCCUUGUACACACCGCCCGUCAAGCCAUGAAAGCCGGGGGUACCUGAAGUGCGUAACCGCAAGGAGCGCCCUAGGGUAAAACCGGUAAUUGGGGCUAAGUCGUAACAAGGUAGCCGUACCGGAAGGUGCGGCUG
rnacentral:rRNA from 1 species